GGUGAGGUGUCCGAGUGGUCGAAGGAGCACGCCUGGAAAGCGUGUAUACCGCAAGGUAUCGAGGGUUCGAAUCCCUCCCUCACCGCCA
rnacentral:tRNA from 1 species